rnacentral:rRNA from 1 species
GAUGAACGCUAGCGGCAGGCCUAAUACAUGCAAGCCAAGGGCUGUUGGGGUAACAAUACCUCCAAAAACCGGGGGACGGGUGGGUAACGCGGAAGGAAACCAACCUUUACAAGGGGAUAGCCCCCGGGAAAGGGGAUUAAUACCCCAUAAGAAUGCUUAAAAGCAUCUUUAAGCAAUUAAAGCCGGAAGGCGGUAUAGGAUGGGCGUGCGUCCGAUUAGCUAGUUGGUGAGGUAACGGCUCACCAAGGCGAUGAUCGGUAGGGGUUCUGAGAGGAAGAUCCCCCACACGGGCACUGAGACACGGGCCCGACUCCUACGGGAGGCAGCAGUAAGGAAUAUUGGACAAGGGGUGAAAGCCUGAUCCAGCCAUGCCGCGUGCAGGAAGAAGGCCCUAUGGGUUGUAAACUGCUUUUGAGAGGGAGAAAUAAGGGCGAUGCGUCGCUCGAUGAUAGUACUUCUCGAAUAAGCAUCGGCUAACUUCGUG